rnacentral:tRNA from 1 species
UCAGCUUUGGUGCAGUAGGUAGCGUGUCAGUCUCGAAAGUUGAAGGUCCUGAGUUUGAUACUCGGAAGGAGGG